GGCGCUGUGGCUUAGCUGGUCAAAAUACCUUGUAAACAGGAGAUCCUGGGCUCAAAUCCCAGCAGCGCCU
rnacentral:tRNA from 1 species